GACGAACGCUGGCGGCGUGCCUAAUACAUGCAAGUAGAACGCUGAAGGAGGAGCUUGCUUCUCUGGAUGAGUUGCGAACGGGUGAGUAACGCGUAGGUAACCUGCCUGGUAGCGGGGGAUAACUAUUGGAAACGAUAGCUAAUACCGCAUAAGAUUGACUAUUGCAUGAUAGUCAGUUAAAAGGUGCAAUUGCAUCACUACUAGAUGGACCUGCGUUGUAUUAGCUAGUUGGUGGGGUAACGGCUCACCAAGGCGACGAUACAUAGCCGACCUGAGAGGGUGAUCGGCCACACUGGGACUGAGACACGGCCCAGACUCCUACGGGAGGCAGCAGGAGGGAAUCUUCGGCAAUGGACGGAAGUCUGACCGAGCAACGCCGCGUGAGUGAAGAAGGUUGUCGGAUCGUAAAGCUCUGUUGUAAGAGAAGAACGAGUGUGAGAGUGGAAAGUUCACACUGUGACGGUAUCUUACCAGAAAGGGACGGCUAACUACGUG
rnacentral:rRNA from 1 species